rnacentral:rRNA from 1 species
GUGAGGAAUAUUGGUCAAUGGACGAGAGUCUGAACCAGCCAAGUCGCGUGAAGGAAGACGGUUCUAUGAAUUGUAAACUUCUUUUGUGCAGGAAUAAAGUGGGUUACGUGUAACCUUUUGUAUGUACUGUACGAAUAAGGAUCGGCUAACUCCGUGCCAGCAGCCGCGGUAAUACGGAGGAUCCGAGCGUUAUCCGGAUCUAUUGGGUUUAAAGGGUGCGUAGGUGGAUUGAUAAGUCAGCGGUGAAAGUUUGCAGCUUAACUGUAAAAUUGCAGUUGAAACUGUCGGUCUUGAGUGCAAAUGAGGUAGGCGGAAUGUGUUGUGUAGCGGUGAAAUGCUUAGAUAUAACACAGAACUCCGAUUGCGAAGGCAGCUUACUGGGAUGCAACUGACACUGAUGCACGAAAGCGUGGGUAUCAAACAGGAUUAGAUACCCGUGUAGUCC